rnacentral:misc_RNA from 1 species
GUUGGUGAACCAGCGGAGGGAUCAUUACCGAGUUUACAACUCCCAAACCCCUGUGAACAUACCGUGUUGCUUCGGCGGCCGCUCCGGCGUCCGCCGAGGGACCAAACCCUUACUUUACUUGAGAAUCUUCUGAGUAUACAAACAAAUAAAUCAAAACUUUCAACAACGGAUCUCUUGGUUCUGGCAUCGAUGAAGAACGCAGCAUCUGACUGACUCGGGCAUA